UGCAUAUCAAUAAGCGGAGGAAAAGAAACCAACAGGGAUUGCCCCAGUAACGGCGAGUGAAGCGGCAACAGCUCAAAUUUGAAAUCUGGCUCUCGGGCCCGAGUUGUAAUUUGUAGAGGAUGCUUUUGGUGAGGUGCCUUCCGAGUUCCCUGGAACGGGACGCCAUAGAGGGUGAGAGCCCCGUCUGGUUGGACACCGAUCCUCUGUAAAGCUCCUUCGACGAGUCGAGUAGUUUGGGAAUGCUGCUCUAAAUGGGAGGUAUAUGUCUUCUAAAGCUAAAUACCGGCCAGAGACCGAUAGCGCACAAGUAGAGUGAUCGAAAGAUGAAAAGAACUUUGAAAAGAGAGUUAAACAGUACGUGAAAUUGUUGAAAGGGAAGCGCUUGUGACCAGACUUGGGCUUGGUUGAUCAUCCGGGGUUCUCCCCGGUGCACUCUUCCGGCUCAGGCCAGCAUCAGUUCGCCCUGGGGGAUAAAGGCUUCGGGAAUGUGGCUCUCUCCGGGGAGUGUUAUAGCCCGCUGCGUAAUACCCUGUGGCGGACUGAGGU
rnacentral:rRNA from 1 species